CCUACGGGUGGCAGCAGUGGGGAAUCUUCCACAAUGGGCGAAAGCCUGAUGGAGCGACGCCGCGUGGGUGAAGAAGGUCUUCGGAUCGUAAAACCCUGUUGUUAGAGAAGAAAGUGCGUGAGCGUAACUGUUCACGUUUCGACGGUAUCUAACCAGAAGGCCACGGCUAACUACGUGCCAGCAGCCGAGGUAAUACGUAUGUGGCAAACGUGAUCCGGAUUUAUUGGGCGUAAAGGUAACGAAGGCGGUCGUUUAAGUCUGAUGUGAAAGCCGGCGGCUCAACCGGAGUAGUGCAUUGGAAACUGGGAGACUUGAGUGCAGAAGAGGUGAGUGGAAUUCCAAGUGUAGCGGUGAAAUGCGUAGAUAUAUGGAAGAACACCAGUGGCGAAAGCGGCUUUCUGGUCUGUAACUGACGUUGAGGCUCGAAAGCGUGGGUAGCAAACAGGAUUAGAUACCCGAGUAGUC
rnacentral:rRNA from 1 species